UCGGGUUUCGAGGUUUCACUCCCAACCCCUGUGACAUACCUUAAUGUUGCCUCGGCGGAUCAGCCCGCGCCCCGUAAAACGGGACGGCCCGCCAGAGGACCCAAACUCUAAUGUUUCUUAUUGUAACUUCUGAGUAAAACAAACAAAUAAAUCAAAACUUUCAACAACGGAUCUCUUGGUUCUGGCAUCGAUGAAGAACGCAGCAAAAUGCGAUAAGUAAUGUGAAUUGCAGAAUUCAGUGAAUCAUCGAAUCUUUGAACGCACAUUGCGCCCGCUGGUAUUCCGGCGGGCAUGCCUGUUCGAGCGUCAUUUCAACCCUCAAGCCCCCGGGUUUGGUGUUGGGGAUCGGCUCUGCCCUUCUGGGCGGUGCCGCCCCCGAAAUACAUUGGCGGUCUCGCUGCAGCCUCCAUUGCGUAGUAGCUAACACCUCGCAACUGGAACGCGGCGCGGCCAUGCCGUAAAACCCCAACUUCUGAAUGUUGACCUCGGAUCAGGUAGGAAUACCCGCUGAACUUAAGCAUAUCAAUAAGCGGAGGAA
rnacentral:rRNA from 1 species